UACGAAGGGGGCUAGCGUUGUUCGGAAUCACUGGGCGUAAAGGGCGCGCAGGCGGUCGUUCAAGUCGAGUGUGAAAGCCCCCGGCUCAACUGGGGAGGGUCACUCGAUACUGAUCGACUCGAAGGCAGGAGAGGGAAGUGGAAUUCCCGGUGUAGUGGUGAAAUGCGUAGAUAUCGGGAGGAACACCAGUGGCGAAGGCGACUUCCUGGCCUGUUCUUGACGCUGAGGCGCGAAAGCUAGGGGAGCAAACGGG
rnacentral:rRNA from 1 species